UGUUUAUGUGUAGGGGCUUUCCCUUUAAGAGGUGCAGCCCAGCUGCAUGUCAUGUGACUUCGGCCAGGAAGCCAAGCUGAGUUAGAUUUCAUGUCACCCAUGUGUUUAGUCAAUCCAGUUCAAUCUGUAUUCAUCUUUGCCCAGACUAAGCAUUGUGGUUUCACACUUCCUUGAAAUCAAUAAACCUGUGGACAAAAGGUCAACUUUCCUCAGAGUCUUUGUGUCAGGGAAGAGUUUAGCUGUACUGUCUAGUUGCAUUUCAUAUGGCGAAGGCAGUAUUGUGAAACCACAACUUCUCAGCAGGUUAGACAUCGCAGUUUAAGCUGGAAGACUCGGAAUACGCAUAGACAUACCCAGCCAGUGACUUAUUACAACAUUCACCUCUCUAAAUCAUAACAAGAAAACAAGUAAUUAUGACAGAGGAGGCUGCAACGUGGGAGACACGAUCUCAAGCUUCAUGUUCUUCUGUACAGUCAAGAGCAUCUACUACAGAGUCUGCUGCUGCUAAAGCAAGAGCAAAAGCGGAAGCAGCAAAAGCACGCCUUGUCUUUGCUGAAGAGGAGGCUAACUUAAAACUGCAAAAGGCUAAAUUGGAAGUAUCAAUGGACAUUCUGAGCAUAAAAAAGGAAACGGCUGUCGCUGAAGCACUUGAAGCAGCUGCCGAUUUGAAAGAAAAUCCAUCCAGUAAUCAGCUUAACUGGGAAAUACCUUCCUUAGAAGCCACCAAACGAACGAAAGAGUACGUUGUCAACCACGGUCAACAGUUGGAUGUGGAUAAACAACUCACUCUUCCUUCAAAGCCACAGCCAGAUGCUGAUGUUUUACCUAUGCAUCUUAUGCCAGACGUUAAUCCCUUCAUUCCAAAGAAAGAUGAUUCUGGAACCCAGUUAUUUUGCCAGACUCCCCAGCAGCAGCUCACUCAUGAGAAAAGCACAGUUCGACUCGAACACGAUCACUUUACUCCAAUACGACCCUCCACGCCACAAGUGAACGUCAGUGAUCGUCCCCCACAUUCAUCAUUUUUAAAUCCUAAAUUCGACGAUUUGAACGUGAAUGACUUCGUUCGCUAUCUGGCUCGACGGGAACUGGUGUCUACGGGUUUACUCAAGUUUAAUGAUAAACCUCAGAACUACAGGGCUUGGAAACGAUCAUUUCAGUCUGCCAUCCAUGGUUUACAUUUGACAUUCAGUGAGGAGAUGGAUCUUCUGCUUUAGUGGCUAGGCAAAGAUUCAGCCUUACAUGUGGAGCGAAUUAGAGCGACCCACAUAAACCACCCAAAUGCAGGACUGACUAUGAUUUGGAACCGGCUUGACCAAACAUAUGGUUCUACAGAAAUUAUAGAAGACGCCCUCUUCAAACGAAUUGAAACGUUUCCCAAAAUAACGAACCAAGAUUUUUCCAAGUUAAUCAAGUUGAGUGAUUUAUUAAGCGAACUCUUGGCAGCUAAGGACGAAGGAGACUAACCUGGACUUAACUUCCUUGACACGGCAAGAGGCAUCAAUCCCAUCCUGCGAAAGCUACCCUUUAACCUACAGGAAAAAUGGGCAUCAGUAGGUUCAUUAUACAAGCAAAGAUAUCAGGUCUCAUAUCCACCAUUUGGUUACUUCGUGGAUUUCAUCAGUCAAGAAGCAAGCGUUGGGAACGACCCAAGUUUCAAUCUCAACACUCAAGAGGAGAUUGCUCCAAAGGCUGAGCGGACAACUUGGAAGUCGAACAGACACAUAGAGGUUUCUACGCACAAAACUGAAGUUACCUCAAACACAAACGAGCUCUUCUCAAAACCAGACGAUUGUAACAAAAUGUGUCCUCUGCAUAAAAAGCCACAUCCUCUGCGUAAAUGUCGAGCAUUUAGGGAGAAGUCCAUUGAAGAUCGUAAGAACUUCUUGAAGGAGAAUCAUAUUUGCUUUAAAUGUUGCUCCUCCACACUGCAUGUUGCAAAAAAACUGCACAGCUAAAAUCCUGUGCGCAGAAUGCAACAGCGAAAGGCAUCCCACAGUACUUCACCCUGGGCCAGCACCUUGGGCAGCAGAAGUAGAUCCUGCAUCAAGGCACGACAGGGAGCUUCAAAUCCCUGUUCAAUCACAGGUCAAUGCCCAGUGCACUCAAGUUUGUGGUGGAGAUCUCGCCGAGAAAUCAUGUUCUAAAAUAAGCCUCGUAAAGGUUUAUCCAUCUGGGUCUAGGGACAAGGCUAGGAGAGUCUACGCCAUCUUAGACGAACAAAGCAACCGUUCAUUAGUUACGUCACAGUUCUUUGAGGUUUUCAGUGACACAAGUUCAAGUUCUCCUUACACCUUUAGAACAUGCGCUGGAGUGAAGCAAGUAUCAGGAAGAAGAGCUACCGGCUACUAAGUGGAAUCUCUUGAUGGAACUGUCCACCUCCCACUACCAAGUCUUAUAGAGUGUAAUGACAUCCCAAACAACAGAGAUGAGAUUCCAACUCCCGAUGUAGCACUCCACCAUCCUCAUCUGAAGUCACUGGCGCACCUGAUCCCAGAGGUCGAUCCAAAAGCGCCAAUCAUGCUUCUUCUGGGCCGUGAUAUUCUCCAUGUUCACAAAGUCCGCAAACAGGUGAACGGCACACACAACCUGCCCUAUGCACAGAAGUUGGAUUUGGGGUGGUGAUAGUAGGCAACGUAUGCCUGGGCAACGUGCUGUUGUGAUUUAAACUCGACGGACCAAAAGCGUGUGAGCACACGAACAGGAAACCAGCCACACAGAAUAAUCAGAGUUUACUUUUUUUAUUCUUUUUUAGCGCUAGAAAAGAGAGACGCUUACCCUCACAGGCUAAUUUGUUGUGGAGUGAAUGUAACCGAAAUUAUACAGCAUCUGAACAAAAACGGAAGAAUCACUGCUUAUAUCUAAAAACACGCCCAGUGGUUGCCUGAUGUCAGCCAAGUCAUGCCCAGUGAUCACCCGAUGUGUUACGUCAGCUAAAGUUUCUAUUUCUACAAAGGCCUUUGUGUGAAAGUGAAACAUGCCAGGUGUGUAAAAGCGAGUUAGAUUUCAUGUCACCCAUGUGUUUAGUCAAUCCAGUUCAAUCUGUAUUCAUCUUUGCCCGGACGAAGCAUUGUGGUUUCACACUUCCUUGAAAUCAAUAAACCUGUGGACAAAAGGUCAA